AUUGAACGCUGGCGGCAUGCCUUACACAUGCAAGUCGAACGGUAACAGGUCUUCGGAUGCUGACGAGUGGCGAACGGGUGAGUAAUACAUCGGAACGUGCCCGAGAGUGGGGGAUAACGAGGCGAAAGCUUUGCUAAUACCGCAUACGAUCUCAGGAUGAAAGCAGGGGACCGCAAGGCCUUGCGCUCACAGAGCGGCCGAUGGCAGAUUAGGUAGUUGGUGGGAUAAAAGCUUACCAAGCCGUCGAUCUGUAGCUGGUCUGAGAGGACGACCAGCCACACUGGGACUGAGACACGGCCCAGACUCCUACGGGAGGCAGCAGUGGGGAAUUUUGGACAAUGGGCGCAAGCCUGAUCCAGCCAUGCCGCGUGCAGGAUGAAGGCCUUCGGGUUGUAAACUGCUUUUGUACGGAACGAAAAGACUCCUUCUAAUAAAGGGGGUCCAUGACGGUACCGUAAGAAUAAGCACCGGCUAACUACGUGCCAGCCGCCGCCGUAAAAC
rnacentral:rRNA from 1 species